GACGAACGCUGGCGGCAUGCUUAACACAUGCAAGUGGAGCGACGAACCUUUUAGGGGCAAAGCCGCGAACGGGUGAGUAACACGUGGGCAAUCUGCCCAGUUGACUGGAAUAACUCGAGGAAACUCGAGCUAAUACCGGAUGUGCUUGCUUCUCACAAGAGGAGUAAGUAAAGGGUGCUUCGGCUAUCCGCAAUUGGAGGAGCCUGCGGCGCAUUAGCUUGUUGGUGGGGUAACGGCCUACCAAGGCAUCGAUGCGUAGCUGGUCUGAGAGGACGAUCAGCCACACUGGAACUGAGACACGGUCCAGACUCCUACGGGAGGCAGCAGUGGGGAAUCUUGCACAAUGGGCGACAGCCUGAUGCAGCAAUGCCGCGUGAGGGAAGACGGCCUCGGUU
rnacentral:rRNA from 1 species